rnacentral:rRNA from 1 species
UGGGGGGUACAGCCUGCCCAGUGAAUAACUUUUAACGGCCGCGGUAUCUUGACCGUGCAAAGGUAGCACAAUCACUAGCCCCCUAAAUAGGGGCCUGUAUGAAUGGCAUCACGAGGGUCCAACUGUCUCCUCUUUAAUUACUGAAACUUCUCUAGCUGUGCAAAAGCAGCUAUUAAAGCGCUAGACGAGAAGACCCUAUCGAGCUUAAGGGGCCCAAGAAUAGUUUAGUGUUAAUUCCACUAAUAAAAUAUACUAUUUUAAUUAAGAAAUUAACGAUACCUAUUUUCUUCCAACCCCUUUGGUUGGGGCAACCUCGGAGAACAAACAUCCUCCGAACUAACUAAUUUUUAAAGACAUUACGUCUUAAACAUUAACCAAAAAAUAAAAGAUCCGAUUAUUUCUUAUCGAACAAUAAACAAAGUUACCGUAGGGAUAACAGCGUAAUCCCUCCUAAGAGCCCGCAUUGCCGGAGGGGUUUGCGACCUCGAUGUUGGAUCGGGGAACCCCGAUGGUGCAGCCGCUAUCAACGGUUGGUCUGUUC